rnacentral:rRNA from 1 species
CGCCUGUUUACAAAAACAUGUCUGUGCGAAGGUAUGUAGAGUCUGGCCUGCCCACUGACUUAGAAAUUGUUUAAAGGGCCGCGGUAUUUUGACCGUGCGAAGGUAGCAUAAUCAUUAGUCUUUUAAUUGAAGGCUCGUAUGAAUGGUCGGACAAAAAGUAAGCUGUCUUCAAUUAUAAAAAUUGAAUUUGACUUUUAAGUGAAAAGGCUUAAAUAUAACAAAGUGACGAUAAGACCCUAUAAAGCUUUAUAGUGUAGUUUUUUAUUAUAAAUUAUUAAAUUGUAUAACUUAAUUUAAAAUAAAGCUUUUUCGUUGGGGCGACGAAAAUAUAAUUAAAAUAACUGUUUUUGUUUUUAUAACAAAUAUAUUUGGUUUAAAUAAAUGAUCCUUUAUUAGAGAUUAAAAGAUUAAGUUACUUUAGGGAUAACAGCGUAAUCUUCUUUGAGAGUUCAUAUCGACAAGAAGGGUUGCGACCUCGAUGUUGAAUUAAGGUUCCUUUAUGGUGUAGCAGUUAUAAUUGGAGGUCUGUUCGACCUUUAAAUCCUUACGUGAUCUGAUUCAGACCGGA